UACGAAGGGGGCUAGCGUUGUUCGGAAUCACUGGGCGUAAAGCGCACGUAGGCGGACCUUUAAGUCAGGGGUGAAAUCCCGAGGCUCAACCUCGGAACUGCCUUUGAUACUGGGGAUCUCGAGUCCGGGAGAGGUGAGUGGAACUGCGAGUGUAGAGGUGAAAUUCGUAGAUAUUCGCAAGGACACCAGUGGCGAAGGCGGCUCACUGGCCCGGAACUGACGCUGAGGUGCGAAAGCGUGGGGAGCAAACAGG
rnacentral:rRNA from 1 species